UACCAGACUCCUACGGGAGGCAGCAGUGAGGAAUAUUGGUCAAUGGCCGCAGGGCUGAACCAGCCAAGUCGCGUGAGGGAUGACGGUCCUAUGGAUUGUAAACCUCUUUUGUCAGGGAGCAAAGGGCGCCACGUGUGGCGUUUUGCGAGUACCUGAAGAAAAAGCAUCGGCUAACUCCGUGCCAGCAGCCGCGGUAAUACGUAGGUGACAAGCGUUGUCCGGAUUUACUGGGUGUAAAGGGCGCGUAGGCGGACUGUCAAGUCAGUCGUGAAAUACCGGGGCUUAACCCCGGGGCUGCGAUUGAAACUGACAGCCUUGAGUAUCGGAGAGGAAAGCGGAAUUCCUAGUGUAGCGGUGAAAUGCGUAGAUAUUAGGAGGAACACCAGUGGCGAAGGCGGCUUUCUGGACGACAACUGACGCUGAGGCGCGAAAGUGUGGGGAGCAAACAGGAUUAGAUACCCGAGUAC
rnacentral:rRNA from 1 species